CUGGUGAUCCUGCCAGUAGUCAUAUGCUUGUCUAAAAGAUUAAGCCAUGCAUGUCUAAGUAUAAACGAAUUUAUACAGUGAAACUGCGAAAGGCUCAUUAAAUCAGUUAUAGUUUAUUUGAUAGUACCUACUACUUGGAUAACCGUAGUAAUUCUAGAGCUAAUACAUGCUAAAAGUCCCGACUUUGCGGAAGGGAUGUAUUUAUUAGAUAAAAAACCAAUGCGCCGGGGCAACUCGGCGGUCACUGGAUGAUUCAUGAUAACUUUGCGAACCGCAUGUCCUUGCGACGGCGGUGAUUCAUUCAAAUUUCUGCCCUAUCAACUUUCGAUGGUAGUGUAGUGGACUACCAUGGUUGUAACGGGUGACGGGGAAUUAGGGUUCGAUUCCGGAGAGGGCGCAUUGAGAGAUGGCGACCACUUCCAAGGAAGGCAGCAGGCGCGCAAAUUACCCAAUGGCAAUUCGCCGAGG
rnacentral:rRNA from 1 species